GCGCCCCCUCCCUACCCCUUCCCACGCGCGCCUCCUGGGGGUGCCCCCUUCCCAAGCCCCGGGCCCCUCCCGCCAACGGUCACCGGGGGUCCUGGCAGAGUCAGGGGGCCGGGGGAAACCGAGAGGGGUCUGCGAGGAGACGGGACCUGUGAGACAGGCGGGACCCGGUGGUGGCACCCCAACAAGCAGAAAGAGGGGAAGGGAGAUGAGGCAAAACUUAGGAAGGCUGCUCAGGAAGAACAGGGUGGGGUUUUAAGAGAGGGGAGCCUGCAGUACAGGAAGUCCCUCUACCCUCGAGGAAGCAGCAGCAGAAAUGGGCGCUGGAAGGCUCCAGGGCCCCUGGAGCAGGACUCAGAAGGGAAUUCCAGGGCAGAGGCUGCAGGGGCAGUCUGGAACAGGAAGGGGGCUGGGGCCGCGGAGCCCGCAAACGCAGAAUGGGCCACGCCUAGGGUGAAAGGGACAGGUGGGGAGCAGUGCGGUUUUUCUUCUCGCCCUCACUGCUCCCAGUCCCGGGGCUGACUUCCCCCGUCCUUUCUGCAACUCCACCACCCGCCGUCACCUCUUAGGGCCUUGAGGGUGUGCAGGCGUCUUCAAACCUCCAGUGGCUAUUCUGGGCCUGCCCAGAUUGGGUAUUCCCCGGAGACCUGGGAGUCCUGGAACCUGCUCUCCAGUCACUGGAGCUUCGGCCCCACCCUGGGUCUGGACUGCAGCCACUGGUGCUGCCUCCGGGCUGAGAGGGAAGUGGCUGAGAGCUCACGGGCACCCCCUCGGCCCCCGAGAGGGAGCCCACAGCUGUCGGGGGAGCCGCCACCGCUGCCGCCGCCGCCGCCGCUGCAGCUGCCGCCGCCGCCGCCGCCAUAGGACAGACCUCACCGGUACCUGCACAGCGAGAAACACCAGGAGAUCACAGUACAAUCUGAAAGGCAAGAGCCUCGCCCCCUGCCCCAGACUCAUUCCCAGACUCCCUCCCCUGGGACACAGCCGUUGCUCACUUCCUGUUUGGUCCCCAGAGGCCUCCGCCUGCAUCCUUACCCAGUUGUCCUGAAGGGCCUUCCCUGUCCCCAGAAGUCUCCCUAACUUCAGUGAUGGAUGGGCAUCCCUGGCCUUCCUGAGAUCCCCUAUUGGGCCCUUUGAGCCCCCUCGUCCCACACAACCCAUCCCACCCCCCCCAGCCAUGCCCCACGCCUUGCCUGGUGGGUGCGGGGGUCCCCCUCAGCAGGUGGGCUGUGGCUGGGGGGCGUCUCCCGGGACAGGGGGGGCGGCCCCCCCCAGAUGGGUCUGCAUGUGGCCGGCCAGCUGGGCAGGGGUCUUGCAGUGCACGCUGCACAGCUUGCACAGGAUGCGGUCAGCCCGCGGGGCCUGGAGCCCGUGGUCCUUCACCGCGUGGAUGCGCAGGAGCCGAAGAGCAGAACAUGUGGCCACACAGCUGAAACCCUGGCUUCCAACCCUUGGGAACUGGCUCUUGACCACUCCUUCCCCACAGCAGGCUCUAGAUGCCAUGAGCUCUGGACUACAACACCUUUAACCCAUGUCUGUGGAAGGGCCUCUGGCUUUGUCCCCUACCCAUUGUCCCUGGCCCUCCCAGCAUCUUUCAGCAUGUACCUUUGUUGCAGAGCUCACAGACAUGGUGAGGGCCCUGGCUGUGCACCUUCAUGUGGUCCGAAAUAUAAGCCGAGCUCAGCAUCUUGCCACACACAUGA